AACAGGAUUAGAUAACCCUGGUAGUCCACGCCGUAAACGAUGGGCACUAGGUGUGGGAGGUGUCGACUCCUCCCGUGCCGAAGCUAACGCAUUAAGUGCCCCGCCUGGGGAGUACGGCCGCAAGGCUAAAACUCAAAGGAAUUGACGGGGGCCCGCACAAGCAGCGGAGCAUGUGGUUUAAUUCGACGCAACGCGAAAAACCUUACCCGGGCUUGACAUGUGCCUGACCGCCCUGGAAACAGGGCUUCCCUUCGGGGCAGGUUCACAGGUGGUGCAUGGCUGUCGUCAGCUCGUGUCGUGAGAUGUUGGGUUAAGUCCCGCAACGAGCGCAACCCCCGUCGCAUGUUGCCAGCAUUCAGUUGGGGACUCAUGCGAGACUGCCGGUGACAAACCGGAGGAAGGUGGGGAUGACGUCAAGUCAUCAUGCCCCUUAUGUCCGGGGCUACACACGUGCUACAUUGGCGCGUACAGAGGGCUGCGAUACCGCGAGGUGGAGCGAAUCCCUUAAAGCGCGUCUCGGUUCGGAUUGCAGGCUGAAACUCGCCUGCAUGAAGGCGGAGUUGCUAGUAAUCGCGGAUCAGCAUUGCCGCGGUGAAUACGUUCCCGGGCCUUGUACACACCGCCCGUCACACCACGGAAGCAGGCAACACCCGAAGCCGGUGGCCUAACCCGCAAGGGAGGGAGCCGUCGAAGGUGGGGCCCGUGACUGGGGUGAAGUCGUAACAAGG
rnacentral:rRNA from 1 species